rnacentral:rRNA from 1 species
GAUGAACGCUGGCGGCGUGCCUAAUACAUGCAAGUCGAGCGAACGGACGAGAAGCUUGCUUCUCUGAUGUUAGCGGCGGACGGGUGAGUAACACGUGGAUAACCUACCUAUAAGACUGGGAUAACUUCGGGAAACCGUAGCUAAUACCGGAUAAUAUUUUGAACCGCAUGGUUCAAAAGUGAAAGACGGUCUUGCUGUCACUUAUAGAUGGAUCCGCGCUGCAUUAGCUAGUUGGUAAGGUAACGGCUUACCAAGGCAACGAUGCAUAGCCGACCUGAGAGGGUGAUCGGCCACACUGGAACUGAGACACGGUCCAGACUCCUACGGGAGGCAGCAGUAGGGAAUCUUCCGCAAUGGGCGAAAGCCUGACGGAGCAACGCCGCGUGAGUGAUGAAGGUCUUCGAAUCGUAAAACUCUGUUAUUAGGGAAGAACAUAUGUGUAAGUAACUGUGCACAUCUUGACGGUACCUAAUCAGAAAGCCACGGCUAACUACGUG